rnacentral:rRNA from 1 species
UACGUAGGGGGCAAGCGUUGUCCGGAAUCAUUGGGCGUAAAGCGCGUGUAGGCGGCUAGAUAAGUCUGCUCUGAAAGCCCGGGGCUCAACCCCGGGAGGCGGGUGGAUACUGUCUAGCUCGAGUCCGGAAGAGGAGUGUGGAAUUCCUGGUGUAGCGGUGAAAUGCGCAGAUAUCAGGAGGAACACCAGCGGUGUAGACGGCUUUCUGGACCAUUGCUGACGCUGAGACACGAAAGCGUGGGUAGCAAACAGG